rnacentral:rRNA from 1 species
GUAGGUGGCAAGCGUUGUCCGGAAUUAUUGGGCGUAAAGCGUGCGCAGGCGGUUUUUUAAGUCUGAUGUGAAAGCCCACGGCUCAACCGUGGAGGGUCAUUGGAAACUGGAGAACUUGAGUACAGAAGAGGAAAGCGGAAUUCCGCGUGUAGCGGUGAAAUGCGUAGAGAUGUGGAGGAACACCAGUGGCGAAGGCGGCUUUCUGGUCUGUAACUGACGCUGAGGCGCGAAAGCGUGGGGAGCAAACAGGGAUUAGAUACCCUGGUAGUCCACGCCGUAAACGAUGAGUGCUAAGUGUUAGGGGGUUUCCCGCCCCUUAGUGCUGCAGCUAACGCAUUAAGCACUCCGCCUGGGGAGUACGGCCGCAAGGCUG